rnacentral:rRNA from 1 species
CGCAUGCAGGUUGGUUUAGUUAAGUCAGAUGUAGAAACGGCCCGGGGCUACAACCGUACGGUAAUUGCUAUUUAGAAACGUGGACAAACUAGAGUACUGUAGAGGGGGUAGAAUUUCAGGUGUAGCGGUGAAAUGCGUAGAGAUCUGAAGGAAUACCGGUGGCGAAGGCGGCCCCCUGGACAGAUACUGACACUCAGAUGCGAAAGCGUGGGGAGCAAACAGGAUUAGAUACCCUGGUAG